UUGAACGCUGGCGGCAUGCUUUACACAUGCAAGUCGAACGGCAGCACGGGGGCAACCCUGGUGGCGAGUGGCGAACGGGUGAGUAAUGCAUCGGAACGUACCCAGUCGUGGGGGAUAACGCAGCGAAAGUUGUGCUAAUACCGCAUACGACCUGAGGGUGAAAGCGGGGGACCGUAAGGCCUCGCGCGAUUGGAGCGGCCGAUGUCUGAUUAGCUAGUUGGUGGGGUAAAGGCCCACCAAGGCGACGAUCAGUAGCGGGUCUGAGAGGAUGAUCCGCCACACUGGGACUGAGACACGGCCCAGACUCCUACGGGAGGCAGCAGUGGGGAAUUUUGGACAAUGGGGGCAACCCUGAUCCAGCCAUUCCGCGUGAGUGAAGAAGGCCUUCGGGUUGUAAAGCUCUUUCAGCCGGAACGAAACGGUACGCUCUAACAUAGCGUGCUAAUGACGGUACCGGCAGAAGAAGCACCGGCUAACUACGU
rnacentral:rRNA from 1 species